rnacentral:rRNA from 1 species
GACGAACGCUGGCGGCGCGCCUAACACAUGCAAGUCGAACGGUGAAGAGGAGCUUGCUCCUCGGAACAGUGGCGGACGGGUGAGUAACACGUGAGCAACCUGGCUCUAAGAGGGGGACAACAGUUGGAAACGACUGCUAAUACCGCAUGACGUAUCGGGAUGGCAUCUUCCUGAUACCAAAGAUUUUAUCGCUUAGAGAUGGGCUCGCGUCUGAUUAGAUAGUUGGCGUGGUAACGGCCCACCAAGUCGACGAUCAGUAGCCGGACUGAGAGGUUGAACGGCCACAUUGGGACUGAGACACGGCCCAGACUCCUACGGGAGGCAGCAGUGGGGGAUAUUGGACAAUGGGGGCAACCCUGAUCCAGCGACGCCGCGUGAGGGAAGAAGGUUUUCGGAUUGUAAAACUCUGUUGACGGAGAAAAAAAUGAUGGUAUCCGUUUAGAAAGCCACGGCUAACUACGUG